rnacentral:rRNA from 1 species
GACGUAGGGCGCGAGCGUUGUCCGGAUUUAUUGGGCGUAAAGAGCUCGUAGGCGGUCUGUCGCGUCGGCUGUGAAAACUCGGGGCUCAACCCCGAGCCUGCAGUCGAUACGGGCAGACUAGAGUGCUGUAGGGGAGACUGGAAUUCCUGGUGUAGCGGUGGAAUGCGCAGAUAUCAGGAGGAACACCGGUGGCGAAGGCGGGUCUCUGGGCCGAAACUGGACGCUGAGGAGCGAAAGCGUGGGGGAGCGAACAGG